rnacentral:rRNA from 1 species
UACGGAGGAUGCGAGCGUUAUCCGGAUUUAUUGGGUUUAAAGGGUGCGUAGGCGGACUGUCAAGUCAGCGGUAAAAUACGGGGGCUCAACCUCCGCCCGCCGUUGAAACUGCCAAGCUAGAGUGUCGGAGAGGUAAGUGGAAUUCCUAGUGUAGCGGUGAAAUGCGUAGAUAUUAGGAGGAACACCAGUGGCGAAGGCGGCUUACUGGACGAUGACUGACGCUGAGGCUCGAAAGCGUGGGGAGCAAACAGG